UACGUAGGGGGCAAGCGUUGUCCGGAAUCAUUGGGCGUAAAGCGCGUGUAGGCGGCUUGGUAAGUCCGCUCUGAAAGCCCGGGGCUCAACCCCGGGAGGCGGGUGGAUACUGUCAAGCUCGAGUCCGGAAGAGGCGAGUGGAAUUCCUGGUGUAGCGGUGGAAUGCGCAGAUAUCAGGAAGAACACCCGUGGCGAAGGCGGUUCUCUGGGACGGUACUGACGCUGAGACGCGAAAGCGUGGGGAGCGAACAGG
rnacentral:rRNA from 1 species